UACGUAGGGGGCAAGCGUUGUCCGGAUUUAUUGGGCGUAAAGAGCUCGUAGGCGGUCUGUCGCGUCGGCUGUGAAAACUCGGGGCUCAACCCCGAGCCUGCAGUCGAUACGGGCAGACUAGAGUGCGGUAGGGGAGACUGGAAUUCCGGGUGUAGCGGUGGAAUGCGUAGAGAUCCGCAAGAACACCAGUGGCGAAGGCGGCUCACUGGCCCGGUACUGACGCUGAGGUGCGAAAGCGUGGGGAGCAAACAGG
rnacentral:rRNA from 1 species